rnacentral:rRNA from 1 species
AGGAAAAGAAACCAACCGGGAUUGCCUUAGUAACGGCGAGUGAAGCGGCAAAAGCUCAAAUUUGAAAUCUGGUACCUUCGGUGCCCGAGUUGUAAUUUGGAGAGGGCAACUUUGGGGCCGUUCCUUGUCUAUGUUCCUUGGAACAGGACGUCAUAGAGGGUGAGAAUCCCGUGUGGCGAGGAGUGCGGUUCUUUGUAAAGUGCCUUCGAAGAGUCGAGUUGUUUGGGAAUGCAGCUCUAAGUGGGUGGUAAAUUCCAUCUAAAGCUAAAUAUUGGCGAGAGACCGAUAGCGAACAAGUACAGUGAUGGAAAGAUGAAAAGAACUUUGAAAAGAGAGUGAAAAAGUACGUGAAAUUGUUGAAAGGGAAGGGCAUUUGAUCAGACAUGGUGUUUUGUGCCCUCUGCUCCUUGUGGGUAGGGGAAUCUCGCAUUUCACUGGGCCAGCAUCAGUUUUGGUGGCAGGAUAAAUCCAUAGGAAUGUAGCUUGCCUCGGUAAGUAUUAUAGCCUGUGGGAAUACUGCCAGCUGGGACUGAGGACUGCGACGUAAGUCAAGGAUGCUGGCAUAAUGGUUAUAUGCCGCCCGU